rnacentral:rRNA from 1 species
GACGAACGCUGGCGGCGUGCUUAACACAUGCAAGUCGAACGGAAAGGCCCUGCUUUUGUGGGGUGCUCGAGUGGCGAACGGGUGAGUAACACGUGAGUAACCUGCCCUUGACUUUGGGAUAACUUCAUGAAACUGGGGCUAAUACCGGAUAGGAGCUCCUGCUGCAUGGUGGGGGUUGGAAAGUUUCGGCGGUUGGGGAUGGACUCGCGGCUUAUCAGCUUGUUGGUUGGGUAGUGGCUUACCAAGGCUUUGACGGGUAGCCGGCCUGAGAGGGUGACCGGCCCAGCUGGGCCUGAGAUACGGCCCAGACUCCUACGGGAGGCAGCAGUGGGGAAUAUUGCACAAUGGGCGGAAGCCUGAUGCAGCAACGCCGCGUGGGGGAUGACGGCCUUCGGGUUGUAAACCGCUUUCGCCUGUGACGAAGCGUGAGUGACGGUAAUGGGUAAAGAAGCACCGGCUAACUACGUG